rnacentral:rRNA from 1 species
UGUAUGUUGCUACCCAUUAAGUUGAGCACUCAUGCGAUACUGCCUGCGAUGAGCAGGAGGAAGGUGGGGAUGACGUCAAGUCAUCAUGCCCCCUNNUNNGCUGGGCUACNCACGUGCUACAAUGGGCAGUACAGAGAGUUGCCAACCCGCGAGGGUGAGCUAAUCUCUUAAAGCUGUUCUUAGUUCGGAUUGUACUCUGCAACUCGAGUACAUGAAGUUGGAAUCGCUAGUAAUCGCAAAUCAGCAUGUUGCGGNGAAUACGUU